rfam:Glycine soja cultivar W05 scaffold1324_60, whole genome shotgun sequence.
CUUUGCUAUUUUCAUUUUUAAAAUAGGCAUUGGGGUCCCUUCUUGUUCCUCCUUUUCCUUUCCUAUCCCAAUGCCUAUUUUAAAAUGAAAACAACGAUA